AACGCUAGCUACAGGCUUAACACAUGCAAGUCGAGGGGAAACGAUAUUGGAAGCUUGCUUCCGAUAGGCGUCGACCGGCGCACGGGUGAGUAACGCGUAUCCAACCUGCCCAUCACUUGGGAAUAACCUUGCGAAAGUAAGACUAAUGCCCAAUGACAUUUAUAGAAGGCAUCUGAAAUGAAUUAAAGAUUUAUCGGUGAUGGAUGGGGAUGCGUCUGAUUAGCUUGUUGGCGGGGUAACGGCCCACCAAGGCUACGAUCAGUAGGGGUUCUGAGAGGAAGGUCCCCCACAUUGGAACUGAGACACGGUCCAAACUCCUACGGGAGGCAGCAGUGAGGAAUAUUGGUCAAUGGGCGAGAGCCUGAACCAGCCAAGUAGCGUGCAGGAAGACGGCCCUAUGGGUUGUAAACUGCUUUUAUAGGGGAAUAAAGUGAGCCACGUGUGGUUUUUUGCAUGUACCCUAUGAAUAAGGACCGGCUAAUUCCGUGCCAGCAGCCGCGGUAAUACGGAAGGUCCGGGCGUUAUCCGGAUUUAUUGGGUUUAAAGGGAGCGUAGGCCGGAGAUUAAGCGUGUUGUGAAACGUAGAUGCUCAACAUCUGCACUGCAGCGCGAACUGGUUUCCUUGAGUACGCAUAAAGUGGGCGGAAUUCGUGGUGUAGCGGUGAAAUGCUUAGAUAUCACGAAGAACUCCGAUUG
rnacentral:rRNA from 1 species